UGCCUUGUGUUCGAAUCAGUCUGCACUAUU
rnacentral:piRNA from 1 species